GAUAACCUACCCAAGAGUCCGGGAUAACCCCGGGAAACUGGGGAUAAUACCGGAUAGAUCAUUCUUGCUGGAAGGCGGUUUGGUUGAAACUUCCGGGGCUUUUGGAUGGGUCUGCGGCUGAUUAGGUUGUUGCCGGUGUAACGUACCGUCAAGCCUGUAAUCAGUACGGGUUGUGGGAGCAAGAGCCCGGAGAUGGAUUCUGAGACACGAAUCCAGGCCCUACGGGGCGCAGCAGGCGCGAAAACUCUACAAUGCAGGCAACUGCGAUAGGGGAACAUCGAGUGGCUGUCAUAUUGAUAGUCUGUCCACCCGCCUAAAAAGCGGGUGUUAGCAAGGGCCGGGCAAGACCGGUGCCAGCCGCCGCGGUAAUACCGGCGGCUCGAGUGGUGGCCGAUAUUAUUGAGUCUAAAGGGUCCGUAGCCGGCUUUGCAAGUCUCUCGGGAAAUCCAGCGGCUUAACCGUUGGUCGUCCGGGGGGUACUACAUUGCUUGGGACUGGGAGAGGUAGGAGGUACUCAGGGGGUAGGAGUGAAAUCCUGUAAUCCUUUGGGGACCACCGGUGGCGAAGGCGUCCUACCAGAACAGGUCCGACGGUGAGGGACGAAAGCUAGGGGCACGAACCGGAUUAGAUACCCGGGUAGUCCUAGCCGUAAACGAUGCUCGCUAGGUGUCACAACAGUCGUGAACUGUUGUGGUGCCGUAGGGAAGCCGUGAAGCGAGCCACUUGGGAAGUACGACCGCAAGGUUGAAACUUAAAGAU
rnacentral:rRNA from 1 species